UACAGAGGGUGCAAGCGUUGUUCGGAAUCAUUGGGCGUAAAGCGCACGUAGGCGGCCUACUAAGUCAGGUGUGAAAGCCCAGGGCUCAACCCUGGAAGUGCAUUUGAAACUGGUGGGCUUGAAUGUCGGAGAGGGCAGUGGAAUUCCGAGUGUAGAGGUGAAAUUCGUAGAUAUUCGGAGGAACACCAGUGGCGAAGGCGACUGCCUGGACGAACAUUGACGCUGAGGUGCGAAAGCGUGGGGAGCAAACAGG
rnacentral:rRNA from 1 species